GAGCUAGCGUUUAAAAAUCCAUUCGAGUAUCAUUAUUAAAUAAAUAAAAUUGAGGGGUUUUAUUGGUUAAAUCAUUAAUUAAGGGGUUUGUACCCGAAACAAAAUUAAUUUGGGGAGGGGGGAAUGUUACGUUAAAAACCCAAUAAGAAAUAAUAAUAGGCUUACGUGCAACGCUUUUUGGUCUAAAGUAUUUCUGAAAUCACU
rnacentral:lncRNA from 1 species